rnacentral:rRNA from 1 species
GACGAACGCUGGCGGCGUGCCUAAUACAUGCAAGUCGAGCGGGGAUUAUGCUUGAUCGCUUCGGUGAGACGGCAGAUAUCCUAGCGGCGGACGGGUGAGUAACGCGUGGGUAAUCUACCUCGUAGUUCGGGAUAACAGGCCGAAAGGCUUGCUAAUACCGGAUGAGUUCAUGCUUAUGCAUAUAGGCAUGAAGAAAGGGCUAGCCCGCUAUGAGAUGAGCCCGCGUCCCAUUAGCUUGUUGGUGGGGUAACGGCCUACCAAGGCAACGAUGGGUAGCCGGCCUGAGAGGGUGUACGGCCACACUGGGACUGAGACACGGCCCAGACUCCUACGGGGGGCAGCAGUAGGGAAUUUUCGGCAAUGGGCGAAAGCCUGACCGAGCGACGCCGCGUGAGGGACGAAGGCCUUCGGGUUGUAAACCGUCUGUCUGGGGGAGUGAGAACGGACGGUACCCCGGACGGAAGCCCGGCUAACUACGUG